rnacentral:rRNA from 1 species
UACGAAGGGGGCUAGCGUUGCUCGGAAUCACUGGGCGUAAAGGGCGCGUAGGCGGAUCUUUAAGUCGGGGGUGAAGGCCUGAGGCUCAACCUCAGAAUUGCCUUCGAUACUGGAGAUCUUGAGACCGGAAGAGGUAAGUGGAACUGCGAGUGUAGAGGUGAAAUUCGUAGAUAUUCGCAAGAACACCAGUGGCGAAGGCGGCUUACUGGUCCGGUUCUGACGCUGAGGCGCGAAAGCGUGGGGAGCAAACAGG